AUUUCAGCCACUCGUUCUUUUUCUCUAGUCCAGCUUCUUAUCCAUUUGUUCAUCUUUUGUGAGCUCUAAUCAUUCUCUGCCUCUCUAGCCAUGAACUAAAUCCAGCUUUGCCCAUUCUCUACAGCAACUCAGAUCCUAUGCCUACUCACGUCUUAGCGCCGCUGAGCAUGCCGCUCCACAGGCCAGCGCGCGCAGCGAGCUGAUGGCGCUCUCCGGCACGCGGCUCGCCGCCUUGCCGUACCAGUCUAGCGACAGCAGCCUCUCCGCUGCCGACGCCGGCUUCACCUCCAUGGCGUCGUGCUUCGCGCGUGCCUCAAACGGCGGCGGCGGUCGGCAGGCGUGGGGCUAGGGAAGAAUCCAUGGUGGCAGCUAUCAUACUCUAGGAGGAAGAAGACUCAAACGUGAGGGACACCAACCAUUCACGUAGCAUCUAAAUUUUGUAAUGUUGCAUCAGGUAUUUUGAGAUGUUUUGCGUAGUGUUCGCUAAUGUUGCAAGAUUGAUUUUUAGAUGUUCUAUAGUACAUUCGAUUUUUUGAUGUUACAAUAUCUAACUUGAGAUGUUGCAGCAGUAAUAUUUUUAUAUUGCAUGGUUGAUGAUGACUUUUUUUUACGAAAGUUGAUGAUGAUUUUAUUUUUAGGUUCGGGAUGUUGCAACUGUGAAAUCGAGAUGUUGCAUUAGAUGAUGUAUGAUGUUGCACAAGGUGUUGCGAGAUGUUUUGGAUUAAAGGAAUUUUUCCAACGAAACGGUGAUUGAACAUUGGCAAAUGUUGCGAUGGACUUCUUUUAUGUGUUAGAACUUUGUUCCCAGAAUUUUUAUUCUUUUGCAUGUUGCAUGCAACAUGUGACCAUGUUGCAGCGGAAUUUUUUUUAUUCUUUUGCAUGUUGCAUGCAAAUGUGACCAUGUUGCGGUGGAAUUUUUUUUCACUUCCCAACGUCCAAUGCUAGCAUCCCGGAUCGGAUGUCCGGGCGCUAGUAGCACCCUAUUAAAUAUCCUCAAUGCUUGCAUAGGUUAGGCUGGACCAAGCAGGCAAGCUGACCUAGGAACUAAACGAACCCUUGAUCGCUCCUGUUCAUUCUUUGUAAGGAAAACCUGUAACACAAAUAAAACGUGUAAAAAUUUGCACGUAAUAAUUUAUCAUGUGUUUUUGCAAGUCUUCAAACAUCUUAUUAGGAAGCUGAUUUUUGGAUAAGUUUGUAAACAGAG
rnacentral:lncRNA from 1 species